UACGUAGGGUGCGAGCGUUAAUCGGAAUUACUGGGCGUAAAGGGUGCGCAGGCGGUUAUAUAAGACAGAUGUGAAAUCCCCGGGCUCAACCUGGGAACUGCGUUUGUGACUGUAUGACUAGAGUACGGUAGAGAGGGGUGGAAUUCCUGGUGUAGCAGUGAAAUGCGUAGAUAUCAGGAGGAACACCGAUGGCGAAGGCAGGUCUCUGGGCCACUACUGACGCUGGAGAAGCGGAAAGACAUGGGGAGCGAAACAGG
rnacentral:rRNA from 1 species